GAGCGUUGUCCGGAAUUACUGGGCGUAAAGAGCUCGUAGGUGGUUUGUCGCGUUGUUCGUGAAAUCUCACGGCUUAACUGUGAGCGUGCGGGCGAUACGGGCAGACUAGAGUACUGCAGGGGAGACUGGAAUUCCUGGUGUAGCGGUGGAAUGCGCAGAUAUCAGGAGGAACACCGGUGGCGAAGGCGGGUCUCUGGGCCAUUACUGACGCUGAGGAGCGAAAGCGUGGGGAGCGAACAGG
rnacentral:rRNA from 1 species